AUUGAACGCUGGCGGCAUGCUUUACACAUGCAAGUCGAACGGCAGCGCGGGCUUCGGCCUGGCGGCGAGUGGCGAACGGGUGAGUAAUACAUCGGAACGUGCCCAGUAGUGGGGGAUAGCUCGGCGAAAGCCGGAUUAAUACCGCAUACGACCUGAGGGUGAAAGCGGGGGAUCUUCGGACCUCGCGCUAUUGGAGCGGCCGAUGGCAGAUUAGCUAGUUGGUGGGGUAAAGGCCUACCAAGGCGACGAUCUGUAGCUGGUCUGAGAGGACGACCAGCCACACUGGGGCUGAGACACGGCCCAGACUCCUACGGGAGGCAGCAGUGGGGAAUUUUGGACAAUGGGCGAAAGCCUGAUCCAGCGAUGCCGCGUGUGUGAUGAAGGCCUUCGGGUUGUAAAGCACUUUUGGCGGGAACGAAAAGGACUGUGCCAAUACCACGGUUCGAUGACGGUACCCGCAGAAUAAGCACCGGCUAACUACGUG
rnacentral:rRNA from 1 species